GAAGUACAGAUUGAGAAGAACUGUGAUCUAGGUCAUUUGUUUGGUUAAGGUGUGAUUGACAGGUUGAGACCGGAAGUGUGUGCAUGUGUUGUGGGGGAAAACUUGACAGAGAAAAAAAGCGGGACUACGACAAGAAAAAGCACAGCGGACACGCAUGGCUGCGAGUGUGAAAGUCUACAGCGAUAACAGUUAAGUGUAGUUUUCAGUGUCCAAGAGACUGUCUGCUCGACACUCGGAACCCGGACAUAGAAGCUACUGCUAUUUAGUGUACAGCUUGAGAAGUUUCAGCUCGGAACUCCUGUCGAAGCUGCACUGUUAUUAGCUUAGCCCAGCUACUGAGCUAACUCGUAGUGUGUUGUUAGCAUUCGCUAUCAAAGCGAACGGACUUAGCCGUGAGGAGCUAAACCAGCUUCUGCUAUCGGCUGUGCCUGUGGUCUCAGCACGGGAGCACGAGGAUUCGGAUCGGCCGCUGCCAGUGUGUGUGACUUGUCAUCGUUGGAGGCUGCCAGUGUGUGUGACUCGUCGUCGGACCCGGACUGCCAGGGACGCUCCAUCACCUGCACACCGGCCUGUCUUCAAUCCACCUGCAGUGUCGUCUUCAGGACUCGGACCGGGCAUCCUACAAAUCAGCUGUUUGGAGGCGAAGCUGAUGAUGGACCGGUCCUCUCUACCCCGAUCAGCUUCACCGGAAUGACCUACGAAACAAAACCAAGCAGGACUGACAAGGUCUUCUCAUUGGAAUUUCUAUGUCAACACCCAAGAACAAAAGGCAACGACAAGAAAAGGUGGUCCUCAUUCACAGCUGGUAUUAACAUACAGUCAGUAUCUGGAAAUCGUAUCUGGAUGAAUAAAUAAAAAAAAAAAAAAAACAUGUUGAUGCAGAUGAAUGCACACAGAACACACUGUGGAAUUUUGAUGUUAUGAAAUUGACCCGACCAGAUUCAGGGACAAUAUUAUGAUCAGAUGUCAUCAAGGUGUGAAUGCAAUCUGUGCAGCAUGGCCGCACUUUUUCCAGACAAAAAUCUGACCAACAUGUUUAAAUAUGUCACUUGUGUCUCAGCCAGCUCCACCUACCUAAUUUUCAUAUUCAAGGACAAUCUCAAUGGCUGUAUCCAAAAUCAAUGAUAAAAGGAUGGACUUCACAGUGACUCUGAGCCACAGAAUAUAUUUAAAGUGACGUUUGGGUCGUGACGUAUCACAUUUUAUGGAGGCAAUAAUGAUUCAGGCCAUGCCACACUUGUGAAUGAUGCAACAGAAUUAUGAUGAUUACUAAGUAUCCAUACAUAUAUUCAAUUAUUAAUCACUGUCUAUAUCUGGGAGUGAUUUCAGCCAAAGCAAAUAUAGAGUAGAAAUAAUAAGAGCACUUUUCAAUACCAGGUAAAAAUGCCAAGUCCCAUCCUCACGUGGUUUCCAGUUAACAUCCAGACUCAAAUAAAAUACGUAUUUAUAACAGGUGCAAACGGAGUCUUUAGUUUUUCAAUUCCCCUGCCAGAGUAUAAUAUUAAAGUCAUCAGCAUUUUUGAUCACUAAUCUCUCA